rnacentral:lncRNA from 1 species
UGCAUUUUUCUGUCGACUUCGAUGGGCCUCGUGUCGCUUGCCCUCUGCGUCGUACCGUACCCCGCGGUCCUGCUGGUCCUAAUUACGCGCUAACGGUGGCAGCGCUUGACGAACUCGGGCCAGACUUUGGAAAAACUAUGGCUUAAUCCCCCCGGGCCUGCAAAAUGUGAGGCACGCUUCGAGAGACUUUGUUGCCUCCGUCUCGGCAAUUCUUCGCACUCCUUUCGAGCUCCCAGAAUGUAUGCGACGGCCAGCUGGCAUUUCAGCCCGUGGGGCAUCCCGGUUAAGCCGGCGCAGCGUAAAGUCGCAAGUCGUGCCUGCCGAGUACUUGUCCUUUUGUGUGUGCGCCUUCCCAUUCGUCGGCGACGCCUGGACCAUGAACUGUGGAGGAGCAACUCCGACCGUGGCUGUUAACGGAGGACCUGCGCAGCAACCCUUCACGGCGAGCGUCGUCACAGCGAGCUUCCAGACGUCGAGCGUCGUCAGCGCUCACGAGCUAAGUCCUAUAGAUGGUCCCCAAGCUGGCGAGGGUGGCGCACGCCUUAGCGAAGUUAACUGUCGAGUUCCACUAGUUAGCGCUCGCUAGCAUUGUAUUGCUACGUUUGAAAAUUAAGUAAAGUUAGUUUUGUUGCUUAACUGUAAGCCCGAGAGUUUCGUGGGCAUGGCUGCGACCACAUGGGUCUCCCCCGUGCCGGAAUCGAAGAGGACGGCCACCGUGUUCGGGGUGGCGGCCCGUGUAGCUUCAGGCUUAGCUGACACACAGGUUAGCUCACACUAGGCAGGCUAGCUGAUAGCGUCCUCUUUUCGACUGCGGCAAGGACAUGGACCCGUUCCGAAUUGCACUGCGACCCGACCACUAUUUCGUGACAAGGUAGCCCGGGCGCGUCAGUGCUAUCGAGCGAAAUGUGGAUUCGGGGAGCACUCGGAAUUACCCCGCCAGCUUUUAGCUACUAAUCCUGCUUAAUGCAGCCCUCGACGCCGGACGUCGCCUGCGGUCUUCAUCGGAGCUCGGCCGGGCAGCAGCGACAAGUACCGCGGCCUACCGCGUUCGCUCUUCGGUGUGGUCUUGCUGGCAGGCGAGACCAGGGUCGUCGCCCCGCACUACUAUGGGAUCCCAACGUUUGCUUUUGAUUGGGGCCCACGAGUAGGAAGGAUAUCCAGUGUGCUGCUCCACGUUUGCCAUCCUCCCAACGUCCCUAUACAGGAGAUGGCCCUGAGCACCACUCGUACCGUGGCUAGCCGCGUUGGCUCCAUUGCAUUCUACCACCCGUGGCGUCCUGCUGGCAGACGGGACUUGGUUUGGAGCCCUGCUAUUACAGAAUCUUGACCUCUACUUUCGGUUGCGGCCCACGAGUAGGAUAUCCAGUGUGCUGCUCCACGUUUGCCAUCCUCCCAACGUCCCCAUACAGGAGAUGGCCCUGAGCACCACUUGUACCGUGGCCGACCGCGCUCCAUGCAUCGCCGGUGCGCGGUCUUACUGGCAGACAAGACUGGUCAUCGCCCUGCACCACUACGUGAUCCCAACGUCUGCUUUCGAUUGCGGCCUACGAGUAGGAAGAACACCAGUGUGCCGCUCCUUGCCAUCCUCCCAACGUCCCACAGGAGAUGGCCUUGAGCACCAUUCGCACCAUGGCAGACCGUGUUUGUUACAUUGCAUUCCCUCACCGAUGGCGUCCUGCAGGCAGACGGGACUUGCUCCUACUACUGAUGUUCGUUUUCGAUGGCGGUGCACGAGGACAAUCCAGGCAGUGUUUCCAAAAGAUGAGAUCACAUUGAGCAGCAAUCGUCCCAUGGCUGCCCACCUGAGCACAUCGGCCGACAACUGUGGACAUCCAAGUCUGAGCGUGGCCACAAACCGAGGACCUGCGUAGCAACACUUCGUCACAGCGAGCUUCUUUCGUCGCGACGAGCUUAAAUGCUCAACAAGUGAGAUGCCAGAUGGUCCCCAAGCUGGCGAGGGUGGCGCACGCCUUAGCGAAGAUUAGCUGUUAAGUUCCACCAGUUAGCGCUCGCUAGCAUUGUAUUGCUACGUUUGAAAAUUAAGUAAAGUUAGUUUUGUUGCUUAACUGUAAGCCCGAGAGUUUCGUGGGCAUGGCUGCGACCACAUGGGUCUCCCCCGUGCCGGAAUCGAAGAGGACGGCCACCGUGUUCGGGGUGGCGGCCCGUGUAGCUUCAGGCUUAGCUGACACACAGGUUAGCUCACACUAGGCAGGCUAGCGGAUAGCGUCCUCUUUUCGACUGCGGCAAGGACAUGGACCCGUUCCGAAUUGCACUGCGACCCGACCACUAUUUCGUGACAAGGUAGCCCGGGCGCGUCAGUGCUAUCGAGCGGAAUGUGGAUUCGGCGGAGCACUCGGAAUUACCUCGCCAGCUUUUAGCUACUAAUCCUGCUUAAUGCAGCCCUCGACGCCGGACGUCGCCUGCGGUCCUCGUCGGAGCUCGGCCGGGCAGCAGCGACAAGUACCGCGGCCUACCGUGUUCCCUCGUCGGUGUGGUCUUGCUGGCAGGCGAGACCAAGGUCGUCACCCUGCACUACUACGCGAUCCCAACGUUUGCUUUUGAUUGGGGCCCACGAGUAGGAAGGAUAUCCAGUGUGCUGCUCCACGUUUGCCAUCCUCCCAACGUCCCUAUACAGGAGAUGGCCCUGAGCACCACUCGUACCGUGGCUAGCCGCGUUGGCUCCAUUGCAUUCUACCACCCGUGGCGUCCUGCUGGCAGACGGGACUUGGUUUGGAUCCCUGCUAUUACAGAAUCUUGACCUCUGCUUUCGGUUGCGGCCCACGAGUAGGAAGGAUAUCCAGUGUGCUGCUUCACGUUUGCCAUCCUCCCAACGUCCCCAUACAGGAGAUGGCCCUGAGCACCACUUGUACCGUGGCUGACCGCGCUACCUCGCCACUCGUGUGCGGUCUUGCUCGCAGACAAGACUGCUCAUCGCCCUGCACCACUACGUGAUCCCAACGUCUGCUUUCGAUUGCGGCCUACGAGUAGGAAGGACAUCAGUGUGCCGCUCCUUGCCAUCCUCCCAACGUUCCACAGGAGAUGGCUUUGAGCACCACUCGCACCGUGGCAGACCGUGUUUGUUACAUUGCGUUCCCUCACCGAUGGCGUCCUGCAGGCAGACGGGACUUGCUCCUACUACUGAUGUUCGUUUUCGAUGGCGGUGCACCAGGACAUUCCAGACAGUGUUUCCAAAAGAUGAGAUCACACUGAGCAGCAAUCGUCCCAUGGCUGCCCACCUGAGCACAUCGGCCGACAACUGUGGACAUCGAAGUCUGAGCGUGGCCACAAACCCAGGACCUGCGGAGCAACCGCUCGUCACAGCGAGCUUCUUUCUUCGCGACGAGCUUAAAUGCUCAUCAAGUAAGAUAGAUGCCAGGUGUUCUCCAAGCUGGCGAGGGUGGCGCAUGCUUUUGAGAAGUUGUGCAGUUGAGUGUAGCUGUAUUCGAAAAUUGCGUAAGUUUAGUUUAGGUGAUUAAUUUUAAGCCCGAAGUUUGGUGGGCACUGCUGCGGCCACAUCGGGUCUUCUCCCUGAUGGAAUCGAAGAGGACGGUCCACACCCGCGGUGGCGGCGGGUGUAGCUUCAGGCUUAGCGAAUUGCGGGUAGGCUUAGCUGGCACCCGGUAGGCUACAGCUGACAGCCGUCCUCUUUCGAUUGCGCCAGGGACAUACACCCGUUCUGCAUGUCCUUGCGACCCGACCACUAUUUCGUGACAAGGUAGCCCGGGCGCGUCAGUGCUAUCGAGCGAAAUGUGGAUUCGUGGAAGCAAACGACAUCCGGAAUCGCCUCGCCAGCUUUAGCUUUCGUGGCAUCGCACGUCGCCUUGGGUCUCCAGCGCAUCUCGGGCCUGCAGCAGAUCAUGUAAGUGGUCCCAUUUCGCUGCAAUUGCAGCUGUUCGUUUUUUGGCGUUUACGCUCCUCCCUUCGUUGCAGAGGAUGACCUUGAAAGCCACUCGUAUACCGUCGCCGAUCGUGUUGGCUUCGCAUUCCCUCGCCGGUGGUCUUGCUGGUGAACGAUACUUUGUGCCUCGCCCGGCACUACUAC